rnacentral:rRNA from 1 species
GGGGGAGGGAACCCUCGAACAGUUCGUCACCUUGUGAGUCUAGUGCAGGCUCAUUCCCCUAGUAUCAUCUUUCUUUGUGAAACUAGGCAGUCUAAAAAUAAAAUGAAGAGGAAUCGUGCUCGAUUAGGUUUAAGUGGGUGUGAAGCUGUUGAUAGUGUUGCUCUUAGUGGUGGUCUCUCUUUGUACUGGCAUGAGUCGUUGAGCCUUGAUGUAAAAGAUAUAAAUGAAAGAUAUAUUGAUGCGUACGUGACUGCUGCGGUGGGUGAGCCACCUUGGAUGCUUACCUGCAUCUACGGCGAGCCCCGGACGAAGGACCGUCAUCACACGUGGUCGCUUCUCCGGGAUCUUCACCUUCAGGCCGACAUGCCAUGGGUGGUGGUCGGUGAUUUCAACAAAGCCAUGUGGAGCUUUGAACAUUUCUCCGAAUCGCCGCGGUUGGCAGGUCAGAUGAUAGACUUUCGUGAUGUUCUAGAAGUUUGUGGUUUGGGUGAUCUUGGUUUUGCAGGCUUGCCAUAUACAUUCGACAACCGUCGAGGUGGACGGGCAAAUGUUAAAGUCUGA